UAGUGGGGCAUUCCUACGUUUAUUGGGCGCAGGCUAGGGCAGCAGCGUUAGGGCAAGGGGUACACAUAAGUUUUUUGCAUAAGGAAGCUAGCAUCAUAUGGAUAGGCAAAAGAGGGAUAAGGUGGGAUGAGUUAGUGCCAACAGUACAGCAGGCAAGGUUAAGAUAGGGAUGUCCUGAUGCCCUGAUUAUACACCUCGGGGAAAACAAUAUAGGAGCAUAACCGCUCAGAGAGCCGGAAGAGAAAGUGGCAGAAGGAAUGAGAUGGUUAAAGGUAGCAGGGCCAUCAGUGCUGGUGAUAUGGUCCAACAUAGUGUCAAGCUUGUACUGAAGGAACUCGUAUACGAGUAAGUAUAAAUCAAGGAGAAAGGUGAAUCAGGUAGCAGCGAAGGUAAUGAAGGAGAUAGGGGGCGGAGUAGUAGAGCACCCAUUGAUAGCAGCCAAAAAGGAGGAGCUGCUCAGACGGGAUGGAGUACACCUCAUGGAUGAGGGGAAUGAACACAUGCUGGCGGACAUCAGAGGGAUGUGCCAAGAGCUGGUGGAGACGCAGCAGAGCACGAUGCAAUAACCGGAGAGGUCACGUGAGAAGGCAGUACUUGCACGGCUAAGGGCAGGACGUUGACUAAUUGGUUGAGUCGCAGUAAGACCGCCCGUGCUCCUCAAUAAGGGGAAGAACACAGCGCAACCGAAGGGCAGCAGGUGACCUGGCGGUCUACGCUGACUGGAGGAUAGAAAACGGCAGCUGUUUUUGACAUAGUAUUGAGCAUACAAUCGCAGCAAGCGGUGAAGUUUGUGCACGACACGUGGGCGGGGCAGAAGGGGAGGUGGGAGGAUCCCGCGGCAUACCCAGCCCUGUGGGGUGAUCCGGUGGUCUAUCUAGGGGAAGGGCAAUGCCGUGGGUUCUCCCUUCUCCAAGCUGCCCUGCCAGGGGGGGGGGGUAGUUGUUACACCCCCCUAGGCGUGGUUCCCAAAAUUCUGGUUUUAAUGCAAGGGCAUUAUUUGGUGUAUAAUUGAGUUGAUUUAUGGCUGAAUUUUGCAAGAUAUAGUUAAAGGUGGCAAAAUUCAAUUAAGUAAUAAAAUCGUGACCUUUCCACAUUUCGCCAUAA